UCCUCACCUUGUCACUCCUUGUACCUGGUUCUUAACCAAAGGACAAGUCCAUGGCUCAUGAGAUCUGAGUUAUGCAGUUCUGUUUUGUUAUGUUUUUGUUCUGUUUUUCAGUUUAAAAAAUUACAAUCUGAACAAAUUUCACUGAAACAGGUUCCCAACAGACAGAAUGCUCUGGUCCAAACGAAAAUGCCUUAAAGUUGCCUGCAGCUGUAGAUUUGGGAGAAAGCAGGCCUACGUUUUCCUUAAGAAUGUGGCCACCGCCUGAGGAAACAGCAUUGCCAGGAAACAGCUGUGCCUCCGAAGCCCACGUGACUUCAGAUUCCAUCUGCAGCAGAUGAUAGAUUCAAAUGUUGAGGCUUAGUUGCCUAAAGAAAAGAGUGCAGGGCAAAACAGCUUUGCGGGCGAGCUUUGGAGCCAACUCUAAAGGGUCGUCCAGAGCACGGCCGCCUCCCCAUACACACCCUGUCCUUGGCGUGGCUCCCGCAGCAGCCCUGGCCUCGCGCCUGUCUCCGGGCCUCCUCAGAGCCUGGCCUGGCUCCAGCCAUCUCCACCACUGUGUGCCUGGGUCUCCUCCCGCUCUGCGCCGUCCCCCAGGGUGCCCCCUUGGCUCUCCUGCACACGUACCGAGGGGAUGUCCCCUCCCACUCUGGACAGGUUCCUUAACCCUCUCUUUCGUAAAUAUAAAAAUAGUUCCUGCCUCAUGAGACGGCUCUAAAAAUUAAAUAGUAAAGCCCUCAGCAUACUGCCUGCUUAAGAGCCAUCUCUCAGAAAAUAAGUUUGUUCUUGUAAUAAUAAACAACAACUUGAGUCCA
rnacentral:lncRNA from 1 species